rnacentral:tRNA from 1 species
GGUGGCUCAGUGGUAGAGUGCUUGCCUUGCAUGCAUGAGGUCCUGGGUUCCAUUCCUCAGCAUCACCU